rnacentral:tRNA from 1 species
AUUAUUUUAGCCCAUUCGGAAGGAUCUCAUCUCUCUUAGAAAAAUGGAAAUUUUUUUGAAGUUCAUUGAUUAAUCAGUUCUAUUCUAUUUAAUAAUU